rnacentral:lncRNA from 1 species
CUCAUGCACAAUAAGCUCAUUAGUUUGUUCCUUUAGAAUAAAUACCAAGGCUGUAGGAGAUGAUGAAAGGUAUCAGCCAUGCUGAAGUGGAGGGGGUUUCAGAGAAGACCCCUCCCCAUCAGCCAGCAGAACAGAAGAUCGGCCCUCCCUCUUUCCUUCUUUUUCUGCUAAAUCACACCUGCCUCCUAGAGAGAGGAGUUCUGCCUUUGAGGUUUGUCUUAGAGAAAAGAUAAGCUUGAAAUGUUCUCUCUGGAGAGGACAUGGGGUUUGGGAAUCUUCUGAAAAGACCCAGGAAAAUGGUUCUGUUCAAACACAAUGUUCUAGGACAAUUGGAAUAAAAAUAUUGUCCAAAAAUAGAACUAAAAGAAAAAAAAAAGUUAGCAUUGUGCAAAGUAAGUGUUAACUAAGGAAGUCCUCAAAAAAGGUGCUGUCACUUUAAGUUCUGGACUGGGGCCGGGGGGCGGGGGGCGUCUGUAAUUGUAAACAGUAAAGCAUUUGUGUUUGUUUGUCUAUUUGUAAAGCAACCACCUUCCUUACUGGAAGGAGAAAAAAAACUGGGGGGUACAUACGUGUAAAUACUUGCUGCAGCAUUUAAUAUGUUUAAUUUUAUGUUAAGCUUUUUGUUGCAUCGUGAACACAUUUAUUGUUACCGAUGGACAAUGAGUUCAUUAAGACGGUUCAACUAGGUCAGAUUUUUACAUCUCUUUCUAGCAAGAAGAGACAAGAUUUUGUGCAUUUGUACAAAUGUUAAUAAUAUCACUGCAAUUCCAAUAUAAUAAAGCACUCAAAUGCAAAUAAUAUAUGUACCCUUUGUAUGAUAAAAUUGGGGUUUGGGGAUAAUGACAUCUAUUCUGUACAAAGUCUUGUUCAUACCUUGUAAACCAAGGCUUACUCUUUCAGGGUCAGCAGCAUGUAGGGACAAAAGCAGGCACGCUCCUUUUUUUCUCACACUCAGUCUGAUCCAUCAGCGGGGCCGGUAUCCAACCAUCCAAGAUGGCCAUUUUUACCGUUACCGUUCUGUCCAAACUACCAGCAUCUCUCAUCUGGACUAUUGCAGCACUCUCCUUCUAACGGGCAGCCGUAGGGAGUCUGGAAAGUGGAAAUCAGACCGUGUUCUCUACCAAUUAAAACCCUGCUAGGACUUCGCCACUCAUGCAGAGCAAAAGCCAAAUUCCUUACUAUCAAAUUUCAUAAACUUGACCUUGACCUCACCCUAUUCUUUCCCAAGCUCAUUUCUUGCUCUUUUCCUUCCCCACUCACACCUCUCCAGCUCCAUUAAUGCCUGCGAGGUUCCUCAAACAUCCCUCCUCCUGUCCGCUGGAGAGCCUUUUUGCACAGUAUCCCCUCUAUCCAGAAUAUUCUUCCCCUAACUGUCAGCGUAGCUCACUUUCUCAUCCGUCUCCCUGUCAGACAAGCCUUUCUUGACCACCCUACGUAAAAUUACAUCACCCUCACUCUUACCCAGACCACUCUUGCUAGCAUUAACUACCAUCAAACAUAACUUAUGUUUAGUUGUUACGUUAUAUCGUCUGUCUCCCCCAAGUAGAACGUAAGCUCGACAAGAGCAGGAAUGUUUUCUAUUUUCUUCACCCGUGUGACCCAAGCUCUAGAACAGUGUGAGUUUGUGGCUCAGCGGAUUAAGACUCCAACUAGAAUUCAGGAGGAUGCAGGUUUGAUCCCUGGCCUCACUCAGUGGGUUAACGGAUCCGGCAUUGCCAUGAGCUGUGACAUAAGUCACAGACAUCGCUUGGAUCCCUCGUUGCUGUGGCUGUGGUGUAGCCCCAGCAGCUGUAGCGCCAAUUUGACCCCUAGCCUGGGAGCUUCUAUAUGCCACAGGAGUAGCCCUAAAAAACAAAACAACAGCAAAAAAAAAAAAAAA